rnacentral:rRNA from 1 species
UAACCUGCCCCAAACUCUGGGAUAAGCACUGGAAACGGUGUCUAAUACCGGAUACGAGCUUCAGCCGCAUGGCUAGGAGUUGGAAAGAAUUUCGGUUUGGGAUGGACUCGCGGCCUAUCAGCUAGUUGGUGAGGUAAUGGCUCACCAAGGCGACGACGGGUAGCCGGCCUGAGAGGGUGACCGGCCACACUGGGACUGAGACACGGCCCAGACUCCUACGGGAGGCAGCAGUGGGGAAUAUUGCACAAUGGGCGAAAGCCUGAUGCAGCAACGCCGCGUGAGGGACGACGGCCUUCGGGUUGUAAACCUCUUUUAGUAGGGAAGAAGCGAAAGUGACGGUACCUGCAGAAAAAGCACCGGCUAACUACGUGCCAGCAGCCGCGGUAAUACGUAGGGUGCAAGCGUUGUCCGGAAUUAUUGGGCGUAAAGAGCUCGUAGGCGGUUUGUCGCGUCUGCUGUGAAAACCCGAGGCUCAACCUCGGGCCUGCAGUGGGU